rnacentral:rRNA from 1 species
CGUGUAGGCGGUUUGGUAAGUGGGAUGUGAAAUGCCCCGGCUCACCCGGGGACCUGCAUCCCAAACUACCUGGCUUGAGUAUGGGAGAGGAUGAGGGAAUUCCUGGUGUAGCGGUGAAAUGCGUAGAUAUCAGGAGGAACACCGGUGGCGAAAGCGCUCAUCUGGCCCAAUACUGACGCUGAGGCGCGAAAGCUAGGGAGGCAAACG